GACAGAGGUGCCGAGCGUUAGGCGGAAUCACUGGGCUUAAAGCGUGUGUAGGCGGGCGGGCAAGUACCUUGUGAAAUCCCACGGCUCAACCGUGGAACUGCUGGGUAUACUGCCUGUCUUGAGCCAGCUAGGGGCGAGCGGAACAGACGGUGGAGCGGUGAAAUGCGUAGAUAUUACCAGGAACACCAAUGGCGAAGGCAGCUUGCUGGGCCACUCCUGACACUGAGGUACGAAAGCGUGGGGAGCGAACAGG
rnacentral:rRNA from 1 species